CUGACCAGACCUUUGCUCUCUAACUCCGGCUGGACAGAGGCAGCCCAGCAGCCCCCUAGCAUCCAUCUGGCUUGGGGAGUGGUGCCCCAGGGCUUAUGAGUGAGCUGGAACCCCAUGUCCUGGAAUCCCGAGUGGCUGUGACUGCUGACUGAUGCCCCCCUCCCCACAGUUCUGGAGAGUGGCUCAGCAGUCUCCCCGAGCUCCGGCCCUAGCAGUCCUCCCGUCUCCCCUCUGUCUGGACAUCGCCUUCUUACAAUGCAGAACAGACGAUGCACUGUCUCAGGUCACGCUUAGCCUCCUACGGGGGCACGACAGAAGAAGAGGAACAUUUAGAGAGGCACAGCUCCUACAUCCUUGGAUGGGGAGAGUGGGGAGCAAACAGGCCAGGAGCCUACUGUGAUCAGAGCUGGGGGAGCCAGUGUGAGCAGCAGGGAGUGUUCAUUCCAUGGGAACCACACAGCUGCCUGCACCAUCCCUAUAUUCUUAGAGAAUAGAUGCUCCCUGCUCAGGAGUCAGGAGGGAGCUGUGAGC
rnacentral:lncRNA from 10 species